GGCGCUGUGGCUUAGUUGGUUAAAGCGCCUGUCUUGUAAACAGGAGAUCCUGAGUUCGACUCUCAGCAGUGCCU
rfam:Xenopus tropicalis strain Nigerian Chr03_contig_3521, whole genome shotgun sequence.